CUCUCUCUCUCUCUCCCCCCUCUUGUCUUCUUCUAUUUCUUUUAGUCACGCCACAACAACACUUUUUUUUUCCAAUUUUUUUUCCUUCUCUUCUCUCCUCUUUUUUCUCCUCUUAUUCUCUCAUCAUGCUAUCUUUUACAGAUGCACUGUAAUUUUUUUUUUAAUUUUUUAUGUUUUUAGAUCCCGGUGAAUCUGUUUCUCAAUAUGUCGAAAGCCGGCGCAUUCGAUCUCGCCUCCGGUCUCGGCGGAAAGAUAGAUAAAAGUGAAGUUCUCUCCGCCGUCGAAAAAUAUGAGAAGUAUCAUGUCUUUUAUGGAGGUGCUGAGGAAGAGAGAAAAGCCAACUACACUGACAUGGUUAAUAAAUACUAUGAUCUUGUGACUAGCUUUUAUGAGUUUGGUUGGGGGGAGUCUUUCCAUUUUGCACACAGAUUUACAGGGGAGUCUCUUCGGGAAAGCAUCAAGCGACAUGAGCACUUUCUUGCUUUACAGCUUGGCCUGAAAGCUGGACAUAAGGUACUGGAUGUAGGAUGUGGAAUUGGUGGACCACUGAGAGAAAUUGCUCGAUUCAGGUCAGUGGACAAACAUUUUCCUUUCUCUGGUAGUGACAACUAAUGCUGGGGCCUAGGAUGCAAACAACAUCAAUCCAACUUAGAAAGCAACUUUAUUUGCAGCAGGCUGAGCAUUAUAUUAGAUUUUACUUUGUGACUCCUGUUGAAUACUUGACUUAUAAAAGAAUAAUGUACUUUUGGUUACCCAUUUUAAAGGAAAAGUAGUGGCUGCUGAUGUCAUAUUUUUUCCUAAAUGGAUUUACAAAUGAACAGCAUUGCCUUAGAGCUGCAAGCUAUUACUUGUUGUAUCAGCACCCUACUGUGAUUCAUGCUUAUUGCAAUUAAUAUCUCUGGAGUUUCAAGAUACAUGCAUUCAAUAGAGGGCUCUUAGCAUCAUUAAUUUCCAUGGUCAUUUGUUGCAGCUUGACAUCUGUUACAGGGCUGAACAACAACGAAUAUCAGAUAGCAAGAGGAAAGGAACUGAAUCGCAUUGCAGGAAUGGACAAGACCUGUGAUUUUGUGAAGGCCGACUUCAUGAAAAUGCCAUUUCCUGACUGUAGUUUUGAUGCAGUAUAUGCAAUUGAAGCUACUUGCCAUGCGCCAGAUGCAUAUGGAUGCUACAGUGAGAUUUACAGAGUAUUGAAGCCCGGACAAUUUUUUGCUGCUUAUGAAUGGUGCAUGACUGAUUCUUUUGAUCCCAAUAACCAAGAACAUCAGAAAAUUAAGGCAGAAAUUGAGAUUGGAGAUGGUCUUCCAGACAUUAGAAUAACUGGGCAAUGCAUUGAAGCUCUCAAAAAAGCCGGUUUUGAGGUCAUGUGGUCAAAAGAUCUUGCAGCAAGCUCACCUGUCCCAUGGUACUUGCCCUUGGAUAAAAAUCACUUCUCUCUGAGUAGCUUCCGAUUAACAGUCCCUGGAAGAUUUUUCACAAGAAACAUGGUCAAGUUCCUAGAAUUUGUGGGACUUGCUCCAAAAGGAAGUCAAAGGGUUCAAGAUUUUCUGGAGAAGGCUGCAGAGGGAUUAGUUGAAGGUGGAAGGAGGGAGAUUUUCACCCCAAUGUUUUUCUUUUUGGCUCAAAAACCACAUUCAUAGAGUCAGUAAGCUCUAAUGCAAACCAAUUUGCCCGCUGAUUUAACGCUUAAAUCUUCCUGGGCAUCCUCAGUUUGUAUCAGUAUCCAAUUUCCGUGAACUGAUAGGCAGCUUCUAUGUUAUGUACAACUCAUGUGUUCAAUUUCCAGAGUUGUUUUGUACCUAGUGCUGUUUGCUUGAUGAAAUUUCAUCAUAUUUGUGAUCCAAUGUAGUUUCUUAACUAAUCUAACAUAUUAGAAUUUUGCCUUGCCUAAUUGGCAUUUUUGUCUGCAUGUUCUUCCCAAUCUUGUGAUAUUAUUAUUUUACAUUUAUUCUCUCAACAGUUAUCUUGUGAGGCAUAUGCCAGUAUGCCCCCAUGUGGGUGCUUGGAAUUUUUUUUAACAUGUUGGUGAGCUUUGAUUCCCAUCUGUCAUUUGAAGAAUGGGAAUGUUGUAUUUGUAACUUUGUGCGUGGUAGUCUGUACGAAAUGUUUUGGAAUAUUCUGUAAAAAUGGAAGAGGGAAGUCUUCUUUAUUUCA
rnacentral:misc_RNA from 1 species